rnacentral:rRNA from 1 species
UUACGGGAGGCAGCAGUGGGGAAUCUUGCACAAUGGGCGAAAGCCUGAUGCAGCGACGCCGCGUGAGUGAAGAAGGCCUUUGGGUUGUAAAGCUCUUUCGGCUGGGAAGAAGGGUGCACCAGUGAAUAACAUGUGCAUUUGACUGUACCAGAAGAAGCAGCACCUGCCAACUUCGUGCCAGCAGCAGCGGUAAUACGAAGGGUGCAAGCGUUACUCGGAAUCACUGGGCGUAAAGCGCACGUAGGCUGGUUUGUAAGUCGGUUGUGAAAUCCCCGGGCUCAACCUGGGAAUUGCAGGCGAAACUGCAGAUCUUGAAUGUUCCAGAGGAUGGCAGAAUUCCUGGUGUAGAGGUGAAAUUCGUAGAUAUCAGGAGGAAUACCGGAGGCGAAAGCGGCCGUCUGGGGAAACAUUGACGCUGAAGUGCGAAAGCGCGGGGAUCAAACAGGAUUAGAAACCCUGGUAGUCCC